AGGGAAUCUUCCACAAUGGACGGAAGUCUGAUGGAGCAACGCCGCGUGAGUGAUGAAGGUUUUCGGACGGAAAACUCUGGUUGAAGGGGAGAACCAGUACGUCAGGGCAUGGAAGUACCUUGACGGUACCUUAUUAGAAAACCACGGCUAACCACCUGCCAGCAGCCGCGGUAAUACGUAGGUGGCAAGCGUUGUCCGGAAUUAUUGGGCGUAAAGCGCGCGCAGGUGGUUUCUUAAGUCUGAUGUGAAAGCCCACGGCUUAACCGUGGAGAGUCAUUGGAAACUGGGAGACUUGAGUGCAGAAGAGGAAAGUGGAAUUCCAAGUGUAGCGGUGAAAUGCGUAGAGAUUUGGAGGAACACCAGUGGCGAAGGCGACUUUCUGGUCUGCAACUGACGCUGAGGCGCGAAAGCAUGGGGAGCAAACA
rnacentral:rRNA from 1 species